rnacentral:rRNA from 1 species
GAGUUUGAUCAUGGUUCAGGACGAACGCUGGCGGCGUGCCUAAUACAUGCAAGUCGAGCGCUAGGGGUGCACCCUUAGGGGAGACCUCCUGGAGCGGCGGACGGGUGAGUAACACGCAGGCAACCUGCCUGUAAGACCGGGAUAACUACCGGAAACGGUAGCUAAGACCGGAUAGGUGGUUUCUCCGCAUGGAGGGAUCAAGAAACACGGUGCAAGCUGUGGCUUACAGAUGGGCCUGCGGCGCAUUAGCUAGUUGGUGGGGUAACGGCUCACCAAGGCGACGAUGCGUAGCCGACCUGAGAGGGUGAUCGGCCACACUGGGACUGAGACACGGCCCAGACCCCUACGGGAGGCAGCAGUAGGGAAUCUUCCGCAAUGGACGCAAGUCUGACGGAGCAACGCCGCGUGAGUGAAGAAGGUUUUCGGAUCGUAAAGCUCUGUUGCCAAGGAAGAACGCCUUGGGGAGUCACUGCCCUGAGGGUGACGGUACCUGAGAAGAAAGCCCCGGCUAACUACGUGCCAGCAGCCGCGGUAAUACGUAGGGGGCAAGCGUUGUCCGGAAUUAUUGGGCGUAAAGCGCGCGCAGGCGGCCGCUUAAGUUUGGUGUAUAAGCCCGGGGCUCAACCCCGGAUCGCACCGA